GAAACACGGACCAAGGAGUCUAGCAUGUGCGCGAGUCAUUGGGACUCUGACUAAACCUAAAGGCGCAAUGAAAGUAAAGGUCCGCCUCGCGCGGACCGAGGGAGGAUGGGUCGUCCUUCGGGUCGGCCCCGCACUCCCGGGGCGUCUCGUUCUCAUCGCGAGAAGAGGCGCACCCAGAGCGUACACGCUGGGACCCGAAAGAUGGUGAACUAUGCCUGGUCAGGACGAAGUCAGGGGAAACCCUGAUGGAGGUCCGUAGCGAUUCUGACGUGCAAAUCGAUCGUCGGAACUGGGUAUAGGGGCGAAAGACUAAUCGAACCAUCUAGUAGCUGG
rnacentral:rRNA from 1 species